rnacentral:rRNA from 1 species
GAUGAACGCUGGCGGCGUGCCUAAUACAUGCAAGUCGAGCGAAUGGAUUAAGAGCUUGCUCUUAUGAAGUUAGCGGCGGACGGGUGAGUAACACGUGGGUAACCUGCCCAUAAGACUGGGAUAACUCCGGGAAACCGGGGCUAAUACCGGAUAACAUUUUGAACCGCAUGGUUCGAAAUUGAAAGGCGGCUUCGGCUGUCACUUAUGGAUGGACCCGCGUCGCAUUAGCUAGUUGGUGAGGUAACGGCUCACCAAGGCAACGAUGCGUAGCCGACCUGGGAGGGUGAUCGGCCACACUGGGACUGGAACACGGCCCAGACUCCUACGGGAGGCAGCAGUAGGGAAUCUUCCGUAAUGGACGAAAGUCUGACGGAGCAACGCCGCGUGAGUGAUGAAGGCUUUCGGGUCGUAAAACUCUGUUGUUAGGGAAGAACAAGUGCUAGUUGAAUAAGCUGGCACCUUGACGGUACCUAACCAGAAAGCCACGGCUAACUACGUGCCAGCCGCCGCCGUAA